UACGUAGGGUGCGAGCGUUAAUCGGAAUUACUGGGCGUAAAGCGUGCGCAGGCGGUGAUGUAAGACAGGUGUGAAAUCCCCGGGCUUAACCUGGGAACUGCAUUUGUGACUGCAUCGCUGGAGUGCGGCAGAGGGGGAUGGAAUUCCGCGUGUAGCAGUGAAAUGCGUAGAUAUGCGGAGGAACACCGAUGGCGAAGGCAAUCCCCUGGGCCUGUACUGACGCUCAUGCACGAAAGCGUGGGGAGCAAACGGG
rnacentral:rRNA from 1 species